rnacentral:rRNA from 1 species
UACGGGGGGGGCAAGCGUUGUUCGGAACUACUGGGCGUAAAGGGCUCGUAGGCGGCCAACUAAGUCAGACGUGAAAUCCCUCGGCUUAACCGGGGAACUGCAUCUGAUACUGGAUGGCUUGAGUUCGGGAGAGGGAUGCGGAAUUCCAGGUGUAGCGGUGAAAUGCGUAGAUAUCUGGAGGAACACCGGUGGCGAAGGCGGCAUCCUGGACCGACACUGACGCUGAGGAGCGAAAGCCAGGGGAGCAAACGGG